ensembl:lncRNA
GGGAGGUUUAAGUCAUGGAGCAGAAGGCACAUGGGACUCGCCCAGUUCUCUCUGCACCCAGCUGCCUCCCAGCCCUGGGUCCCAGCCCAGGCACGGGCUGUGCAGUGCCAAGCAGCCCUUCCUCCCUGCAGGGGCAGAGGAAGGGUUUGGGAAUGACCUCAGGGAUGCUAAACCCCUUUCUGCUCAGCUGGGCCCAAGCUGGUGGCCACGAAGCAACCAGCAGCUGCUGAGGAGUCAUUCCAAGGGAAAGGAAGCAGGGAUGGAGCCCGGUGCCACAGGGACAUUCACAUCCCUCUAAUCCCCAGCUGGGACCUUCCUGAGGUGGCCUUGUCCAUAGCUGUGUCCCCGUGGUGGCCCACUUGCUCAGGACAGGGGCACAGGGAGCCUGUCCUGGUUCUGUCACCUGUGUGCAGGGCUGCAGGGACAGAGCAGGCAGCAGAACCUCUUUGCAUGACAGGAAAACCUGUGGGAUUCCCUGCAAAUAUAUUUUUAAUGACCCGUGGCUGGUCCUGCAGCAGCCUCAGCAGUGCCAUCAGACGUGCCCCAGCCCACCCUCUCCUUCCCUGGGGGAAUGAAACUGCUUCCUAAGGAGCCAGAGUUGUCCUCAAGGAGCACAAAACUGUUCCUGGCUGGAGCCAAAUAUCUCCCUUUGUGGGGCCAGGCUGCUGGAGGAGAAGCCCCUGCAGGAAGGGGCUCUCAGGGCAGGAGCACAGACUCCCUGGAAGGAGCAGGACCAGCAGGCAGCACAUGGAGCAGCCUGGAGGGAAGAUUUUCCACCUGGGAGAUGAGACCUUUGCCCACUGCGCACUCCCAGGGAGGCUGCAGGGCAGUUGGAUUCCUCAGCAGUGGGUGCUGCAGCCCUGGCCAGGCUGCUCUGUCCCUGCCGUGGGGACAGGAGGCAGAUGCCACACUCCAGCUGGCCUCAGCCAGCUCAGAGGGCAGCUCCACCUCCCAGCUCAGGGCCUGGAAUUACCUGACAGGGAGAAAUCCCAACCUGCAGCACUGAAGGACAGCUAUUUCACACAGGCACAGCUGCUGCCUCCCCCCAAAAAGGGGCUCUGAGCCCCUCUGGGAAGCAGCCAGGGAAUGGGUGCUGACAGCACUGUCCCCAAACCCAGCUGCAGGAAACACUCCCAGACCCCAGCAGCUCCCAGAGCAUCCCCCGGCCCAGGAGAGGCUGGGAUGAGCCAGCCCUGCAAAAGCGAGUCCAGAACAUCUCCUCCCCUCUCAGAUGACAGCCUGGGGACAGCCAGAGCUCAUGGAAGGAGCAGACACCGCUGAAGGGAGGCAGGACCCAGGGUGGAAGCCUCCCUCAGCACGGAGCCAGCAGCCACAGCCCCAGGCAGCCCAGCUCUACCUGGAAGAACCUGAGGAGAGCGAAGAGCAGAUUUUGAGCUGUUUGCAGCUCCCAUCUCCCGGUGCCAGCCUUGCCCAGAGCCCAGCGGGCAGUGCCACCGCCGGCACUCACCGCAGGGCACAUGGCAGUCGCACUCGCAGAUGUCACAGCGCCGGAACCAGCGGGGCCAGCCGGACACUUUGGUGACACAGGCCGAGAUCUUGAUGCAGCCGCUGUUGAGGGAGGUUCCCAAGGAGGUUCCCAAGGAGGUUCCCAGGAGCUCCUGGCUGCCGCAGGACGAGGAGCAGCGGCCGCUGAUGUCCCACUCGCUGAGCUGGAUGCGGCCGCGCAGGCAGAUCCCUGCGGGGGCAGAACCCAUCUCGGGGGUGUUAUGGGUAAUAAACAUAAUUUG